rnacentral:lncRNA from 1 species
ACUCUGGCUUACAGAUGGCUGCAUUCUAGCAGCCUCUUCACAAGAUAUUUUCUCCGUGUGCAACAUCCCUGGUGCCUCUCCUGUUCAUCCCAAUCUUUUCUUCUUAACCAUUUUUUCCUACUGUAUUAUAGAAAUAACUAAAGAAGAAGGAAGAGUUAUGUGCCUUAUACUAUGAUGAAGAAGGACACCCACACCUUACCUAACAUGUACAUUAACACCUGCAUUGGCAAAAACCUAAAAAAU